rnacentral:rRNA from 1 species
UCCCGGAGCCCCAAGUGGGGACCAGUUCUAUUGGGUCUAAAGCGUCCGUAGUCGGUUAUGAAAGUUGCUUGUGAAAGAGUUCUUCUUAGGGGAACGGAGUGCAAGCAAUACUCCAUGACUUGAGACCGGGAGGGGGCAGGAGUAUGCCAAGGGGAGCGGUAAAAUGCUAUAAUCCUUGGUAGACUACCAAUAGCGAAGGCACCUGUCCAGAACGGGUCUGACGAUCAGGGACGAAAGCUAGGGGAGCAAAAGGG